rnacentral:rRNA from 1 species
CACGUAGGGCGCAAGCGUUGUCCGGAAUUAUUGGGCGUAAAGAGCUCGUAGGCGGUCUGUUACGUCUGCUGUGAAAACCCGGGGCUUAACCCUGGGCUUGCAGUGGAUACGGGCAGACUAGAGGCAGGUAGGGGAGAAUGGAAUUCCCGGUGUAGCGGUGAAAUGCGCAGAUAUCGGGAGGAACACCGGUGGCGAAGGCGGUUCUCUGGGGCCUGACCUGACGCUGAGGAGCGAAAGCGUGGGGAGCGAACAGG